rnacentral:lncRNA from 1 species
AAUCAAACAAAUCAAAUCUUAAUCUUACUUAGUAAUAAGAACUAAACUGAAGUCUAAUAACAGCGCAAACUACUAAUUUAUUGGAAAGAAACAAUAGGAACCAAUAUGCAGAAACGUGCCAAAGUGAUAAACUAUUUCGCUAAAGGUAUGUAUUGUGGCUUCAUUCAUUUAACUCGAAUAUGGAUAUGUGAUCAACAACUUAUAAUUUAAACAUUCAAAGGACCAAUAGGGGAAUAAAAGCGACAGAUAGACCUACAACCCUAUAGAGAGCAAACAACUUACUGAGAAGAAAACAUACUUGACAAAUUCGUUUUGAAUGACACAACCGUUUAUGUAUAUUGUGAUAUAACAUUCUUAAAUGUUUUUGUUAAGUUAAAUGCAUUUAUAUUAGCCAAUCUACUACAUAUAUAUUAACAUGAUCAAGCUACAUUUUAAAAGUGUUUCUCCUCAAACAGCAUAGGCCUCUACUAAAUUAAUACGAAUGUGUUGAGUCUGGCUGGCUAGUCUUGCAAGUGGGUUAAAGUUCAAUUGGACAGUACCGUCACAAAUGAAAUAAAACAUUCGAGAUGUUGGUCAAUCAGUGAAACAUUAUCUUGAAGCAUUUCCCGACAGAUUUAAGAGAUAAUAGGUCAAUAACCUGUAAGAAAAAAGUUGCACUUUAAACAAUUAGCCCCUAACUCAAAGAUUACACACAAUAACACGCGGGAAUGUUGAGUGAAGCAUGUUCUUUGAGGCCGCUAAUAAUUGCGCUUCUUUAGAGCGGUUUGGUGUGGAGUCAUGUGGGGGUAGGGUUUACAGGUCACACUCUUUGACCAUAGGAUUUAAUGGAGGGCAGAGCGAGAUGGACAAUGAAACAAGUUUAUUUAAAAUUUGAGGCGGGGGAGAAAAUAGAUGCUCAUAGAAUUUCAUGCAUGGCAAACCUUUUUGUUGUCAGCCAGAAUGGCUGAAGUUGAAAAUACAACAUCUGCGUGGCAAGGUAAACUAUACUAAUAAGAACACUCGCUUAUGUUGAGAAUAGUUGUUGCUUCUGUUUUCAAAUGCGCCACCACAAAUUACAGGGACAAAUUAGGGGUGCGUCUUAUCUUCCCUUAUUUACUUGGUAAGUAUACAUUAAAGGACACAUCAUCUAUAUGAAAAUGCAUAGAAAUAGUGUUUUAACCACAUGUUUUAUCAUGCAAGUUAUUAGUGUAAUAUUUGGCAUAUUCCUUAUGUUG